AGUGAACGCUGGCGGUAGGCCUAACACAUGCAAGUCGAACGGCAGCACAGUAAGAGUUUGCCCUUACGGGUGGCGAGUGGCGGACGGGUGAGGAGUACAUCGGAAUCUACUUUUUCGUGGGGGAUAACGGAGGGAAACUGACGCUAAUACCGCAUAUGACCUACGGGUGAAAGCAGGGGAUCUUCGGACCUUUCGCGUUUGAAUGAGCUGAUGUCGGAUUAGCUAGUUGGCGGGGUAAAGGCCCACCAAGGCGACGAUCCGUAGCUGGCCUGAGAGGAUGAUCAGCCACACUGGAACUGAGACACGGUCCAGACUCCUACGGGAGGCAGCAGUAGGGAAUAUUGGACAAUGGGCGCAAGCCUGAUCCAGCCAUACCGCGUGGGUGAAGAAGGUCUUCGGAUUGUAAAGCCCUUUUAUUGGGAAAGAAAAGCAGCAGGUUAAUACCCCGAUGUUCUGACGGUACCCAAAGAAUAAGCCCCGGCUAACUUCGUG
rnacentral:rRNA from 1 species